UACAGAGGGGGCAAGCGUUAUUCGGAAUUAUUGGGCGUAAAGGGCGCGUAGGCGGCUUGGCAAGUGGAUGGUGAAAUCCCUCGGCUUAACCGAGGAACUGCCAUCCAGACUGCUUUGCUUGAGGCCGGGAGAGGUGAGUGGAAUUCCCAGUGUAGCGGUGAAAUGCGUAGAUAUUGGGAGGAACACCAGUGGCGAAGGCGGCUCACUGGACCGGAACUGACGCUGAGGCGCGAAAGCGUGGGGAGCAAACGGG
rnacentral:rRNA from 1 species